rnacentral:rRNA from 1 species
CCAGCAGCCGCGGUAAUUCCAGCGCCAAUAGCGUAUAUUUAAGUUGUUGCAGUUAAAAAGCUCGUGGUUGGAUUUCGGGCGGGUGACGGCGGACCGCCUCUGGUGUGCACUGCUGCUCAUCCGCCUUACUAUCGGGGACGGGCUCCUGGGCUUCACUGUCCGGGACCCGGGUUCGACAUGGUUACUUUGAGUAAAUUAGAGUGUUCAAAGCAGGCGUUCGCCCUGAAUACAUUAGCAUGGAAUAGCACGAUAGGACUCUGGCCUAUUCUGCUGGUCUGUAGGACCGGAGUAAUGAUUAAGAGGGACAGUCGGGGGCAUUCGUAUUUCAUUGUCAGAGGUGAAAUUCUUGGAUUUAUGAAAGACGAACUUCUGCGAAAGCAUUUGCCAAGGAUGUUUUCAUUGAUCAAGAACGAAAGU